rnacentral:rRNA from 1 species
UACGUAGGAGGCAAGCGUUGUCCGGAAUACUGGGCGUAAAGCGCGUGUAGGCGGUCUGAAUAGUCUGCUGUGAAAGCGCCUGGCUUAACCGGGCGAGGUCGGCGGAAACUCUCAGACUGGAGGCCGGUAGAGGGGGGUGGAAUUCCCGGUGUAGUGGUGAAAUGCGUAGAGAUCGGGAGGAACACCUGUGGCGAAGGCGGCCCCCUGGGCCGCGCCUGACGCUGAGACGCGAAGGCUAGGGGAGCGAACGGG